AUGGGAGAUACCAGUAGGGAUUCCGGUAUUGAGAAAUUGUGUGAAAGUAUACAGCGUAUGAUUUCACAGCUGAUGGAGCAGGCACAAACAAAGACAAGCAGUACUUCUGAAAUUUUGAAGACCCUGGAACCCAAUCCUGUCAGGUUAACUGGUCCGGGUGAUUUUUUUAGCUGGUCUCGGAAUGCCACAUUGAUUCUGGAGUCACAUGGACUUCAGAAAUUUUUGAAGGACGAUGAAAAAAAAUCAACGGAUGUCACACAAGAGCAAUGGGAUCAGAAUCAAAAGCGAGUUAUGGUAUGGCUGUUGGGGUCGAUGGAGAAGACUGUUAGGGAACAAGUUGAAGGGUUUCAGUCUGCAGCUGAGGUGUGGACAAGCAUUGAGAAACAGUUCUCAUGA
rnacentral:rRNA from 1 species